UACGUAGGAUGCAAGCGUUGUCCGGAAUUAUUGGGCGUAAAGAGCGCGCAGGCGGUAUGACAAGUCAGAUGUGAAAGAGGCCGGCUUAACCGGCAAGGGUCAUUUGAAACUGUCAGACUAGAGUGCAGCAGAGGAUAGUGGAAUUCCCGGUGUAGUGGUGAAAUGCGUAGAUAUCGGGAGGAACACCAGUGGCGAAGGCGACUAUCUGGCCCAACAUUGACGCUGAGACCCG
rnacentral:rRNA from 1 species